rnacentral:rRNA from 1 species
UAGUCAUAUGCUUGUCUCAAAGACUAAGCCAUGCAUGUCUAAGUAUAAACUACUUUAUACGGUGAAACUGCGAAUGGCUCAUUAAAACAGUUAUCGUUUAUUUGGUGAUGACUCACUACUUGGAUAACCGUAGUAAUUCUAGAGCUAAUACAUGCGCAAAGACCCGACUUUUCGGAAGGGUUGUAUUUAUUAGAUAAAAAACCAAUAGGGUAACCCCCUUAUGUGGUGAUUCAUAAUAACUGAUCGGAUCGCAGUGCCUCACGGCGGCGAUGAACCAUUCAAGUUUCUGCCCUAUCAGCUUUCGACGGUAGGGUAUUGGCCUACCGUGGCAGUGACGGGUAACGGAGAAUUAGGGUUCGAUUCCGGAGAGGGAGCCUGAGAAACGGCUACCACAUCUAAGGAAGGCAGCAGGCGCGCAAAUUACCCAAUCCUAACACAGGGAGGUAGUGACAAGAAAUAACAAUACUGGGCUUUUACAGGUCUAGUAAUUGGAAUGAGAACAAUUUAAAUCCCUUAUCGAGGAUCAAUU